GAUCUUAAGUAAGCCCAUUUUGCUUCAAUUUUCUUAUCUAGAAAAUGGGGAUAAUAACACCCAUGUUAUAGAGUUAUUCUGAUGAUUUCUAAGAGUCUCAGAGACCUAGGAUCCACAAAAUCAAAACAACAAAACCAAGCCUUUGUGCACAUCUGUGGUUGUGACCAGUUGGAGAGACAUUAGGAGAUGAGAUACUAUGUUCACUCCUCACAGCUGUACCAGGGACCUGAGAUAUUCCGUCACUAUUCUAUGAAUGGUCUGGCUUGAUGAUAUCCAACCUGACGUGGCCUGAAGAGACAGACAGUGGCUCUUGCUAGCUAAUUAUUGUCAGAUGGAUCGGCAGCCGACCAACGCUUCUGAAACUAUUGUUUUUGGCAAAUGUUCCUCAACAUUUUCCUGGGAGCUAUGGUGCAUUACUCACGAGUGACAGAACCAACGAGCUUCAUCUCCCAAGAGGCUGGUGCAUCUGUUUAAAGGAGCAGGCACUAGGCAGAGCAGCCCCCACCCCACCCUCCAUGGCAGAGUGCAGUGGGGGAAGGCUGAAAGGAAAUGUGGAUAUGAAAUUACCAGUGCAGUGAGUGUCAUGAAGAAGCACAAAGGUCUAAACAACACUUACUGGGAGUCUCUAAGCUACUCAAGAGAUCAGGAAGGGACUUUCCUGAGAAGCUGAGAUCUGCAUUACGAUGUCAAGAGGCAGUAUGAGACAGUGGCUAUUAAGGUUCUGGGGUUACAUCAUCUGGAGACUGAGAACUUGGGAUGCUCCUUGUUCAUCCAAGCAUUUGAACAAAUCCAGUGUCCUUUUUGAGCAAAAUAUGAGCCCCACCUUUAGAAUCUGUGAAUCUCCCCUUCAGAUGGGAAAGCUGUUUUUGUGGCUAAAAUUAGAAAUAACCCAAAUGUCUAUGAAAUGAUGCAUGGAUAGAUAAAAUGUGAUAUACCCACACAAUGGAAAAGUAUUUAUCAAUAAAAAGGACUGAAGUCCUGAUACAUACUCCAACAUGAAUAAAUAUCCAAAACAUCAUGCUAAGUGAAAGGAGCCAGACACAAAAGACCACGUUCUGUAUAAUUCCAUUUAUAUAAAAUGGCAAAAAACCAAAUUCAUAAAAACAGAAAAUAGAUUAGUGCCUAGAUUUGAGGGUGAAAAAAUUAACUGCAUGAUCUUUUUGGAGUGAUGAAAUAUUCUAUAAUGGAUUAUUGUGAUAGUUGCACAACUUCUUAAAUUUACUAAAUAUCAUUGAAAUGAAUAAAUUUUUAUGUUGCGUACAUUAUAUCCUAAUAAAUUUAUUUUAAAAAACA
rnacentral:lncRNA from 1 species